rnacentral:rRNA from 1 species
UACGAAGGGGGCUAGCGUUGUUCGGAUUUACUGGGCGUAAAGCGCACGUAGGCGGAUCGAUCAGUCAGGGGUGAAAUCCCAGAGCUCAACUCUGGAACUGCCUUUGAUACUGUCGAUCUGGAGUAUGGAAGAGGUGAGUGGAAUUCCGAGUGUAGAGGUGAAAUUCGUAGAUAUUCGGAGGAACACCAGUGGCGAAGGCGGCUCACUGGUCCAUUACUGACGCUGAGGUGCGAAAGCGGUGGGGAGCAAACAGG